rnacentral:rRNA from 1 species
GACGUAGGGGGCGAGCGUUGUCCGGAAUCAUUGGGCGUAAAGCGCGUGUAGGCGGCUUGGUAAGUCCGGUGUGAAAACUUGGGGCUCAACCCCAAGCGUGCAUCGGAAACUGCCUCGCUCGAGUCCGGGAGGGGAGAGCGGAAUUCCUAGUGUAGCGGUGAAAUGCGCAGAUAUUAGGAAGAACACCGGUGGCGAAGGCGGCUCUCUGGAACGGUACUGACGCUGAGACGCGAAAGCGUGGGGAGCGAACAGG